CUUCCGAUUUGCAGUCUUGAAAUGUAUUCAUCCCAAGAAAACCAAGAAGAUGCACUCAAGUGAGAAGUUCAGGAGACCACGUACUCUUCGAUUGCCGAGUAACCCAAAAUAUCCCAGCAAAAGCACUGGCACACGUGAAGAUAAAUUUGAUCAAUUUAGGAUUGUUAAAUAUCCUUUGACAACAGGAUCUGCUA